rnacentral:rRNA from 1 species
GGGUUGUGAGGUUAAGCGACUAAGCGUACACGGUGGAUGCCCUGGCAGUCAGAGGCGAUGAAGGGCGUGCUAAUCUGCGAUAAGCGCCGGUAAGGUGAUAUGAACCGUUAUAACCGGCGAUACCCGAAUGGGGAAACCCAGUGUGACUCGUCACACUAUCAUUAACUGAAUCCAUAGGUUAAUGAGGCGAACCGGGGGAACUGAAACAUCUAAGUACCCCGAGGAAAAGAAAUCAACCGAGAUUCCCCCAGUAGCGGCGAGCGAACGGGGAGGAGCCCAGAGCCUGAAUCAGCAUGUGUGUUAGUGGAAGCGUCUGGAAAGGCGCGCGAUACAGGGUGACAGCCCCGUACACAAAAGCGCAUGUGCUGUGAGCUCGAUGAGUAGGGCGGGACACGUGGUAUCCUGUCUGAAUAUGGGGGGACCAUCCUCCAAGGCUAAAUACUCCUGACUGACCGAUAGUGAACCAGUACCGUGAGGGAAAGGCGAAAAGAACCCCGGCGAGGGGAGUGAAAAAGAACCUGAAACCGUGUACGUACAAGCAGUGGGAGCACAGGUUUACCUGUGUGACUGCGUACCUUUUGUAUAAUGGGUCAGCGACUUAUAUUCUGUAGCAAGGUUAACCGUAUAGGGGAGCCGGAGGGAAACCGAGUCUUAAUUGGGCGUUAAGUUGCAGGGUAUAGACCCGAAACCCGGUGAUCUAGCCAUGGGCAGGUUGAAGGUUGGGUAACACUAACUGGAGGACCGAACCGACUAAUGUUGAAAAAUUAGCGGAUGACCUGUGGCUGGGGGUGAAAGGCCAAUCAAACCGGGAGAUAGCUGGUUCUCCCCGAAAGCUAUUUAGGUAGCGCCUCGUGAAUUCAUCUCCGGGGGUAGAGCACUGUUUCGGCUAGGGGGCCAUCCCGGCUUACCAACCCGAUGCAAACUGCGAAUACCGGAGAAUGUUAUCACGGGAGACACACGGCGGGUGCUAACGUCCGUCGUGAAGAGGGAAACAACCCAGACCGCCAGCUAAGGUCCCAAAGUCAUGGUUAAGUGGGAAACGAUGUGGGAAGGCCCAGACAGCCAGGAUGUUGGCUUAGAAGCAGCCAUCAUUUAAAGAAAGCGUAAUAGCUCACUGGUCGAGUCGGCCUGCGCGGAAGAUGUAACGGGGCUAAACCAUGCACCGAAGCUGCGGCAGCGACACUAUGUGUUGUUGGGUAGGGGAGCGUUCUGUAAGCCUGUGAAGGUGUGUCGUGAGGCAUGCUGGAGGUAUCAGAAGUGCGAAUGCUGACAUAAGUAACGAUAAAGCGGGUGAAAAGCCCGCUCGCCGGAAGACCAAGGGUUCCUGUCCAACGUUAAUCGGGGCAGGGUGAGUCGACCCCUAAGGCGAGGCCGAAAGGCGUAGUCGAUGGGAAACAGGUUAAUAUUCCUGUACUUGGUGUUACUGCGAAGGGGGGACGGAGAAGGCUAUGUUGGCCGGGCGACGGUUGUCCCGGUUUAAGCGUGUAGGUGUGUGUUCCAGGUAAAUCCGGUUCACUUUAACACUGAGGCGUGAUGACGAGGCACUACGGUGCUGAAGCAACAAAUGCCCUGCUUCCAGGAAAAGCCUCUAAGCAUCAGGUAACAUCAAAUCGUACCCCAAACCGACACAGGUGGUCAGGUAGAGAAUACCAAGGCGCUUGAGAGAACUCGGGUGAAGGAACUAGGCAAAAUGGUGCCGUAACUUCGGGAGAAGGCACGCUGACACGUAGGUGAAGUGAUUUACUCAUGGAGCUGAAGUCAGUCGAAGAUACCAGCUGGCUGCAACUGUUUAUUAAAAACACAGCACUGUGCAAACACGAAAGUGGACGUAUACGGUGUGACGCCUGCCCGGUGCCGGAAGGUUAAUUGAUGGGGUCAGCGCAAGCGAAGCUCCUGAUCGAAGCCCCGGUAAACGGCGGCCGUAACUAUAACGGUCCUAAGGUAGCGAAAUUCCUUGUCGGGUAAGUUCCGACCUGCACGAAUGGCGUAAUGAUGGCCAGGCUGUCUCCACCCGAGACUCAGUGAAAUUGAACUCGCUGUGAAGAUGCAGUGUACCCGCGGCAAGACGGAAAGACCCCGUGAACCUUUACUAUAGCUUGACACUGAACAUUGAGCCUUGAUGUGUAGGAUAGGUGGGAGGCUUUGAAGCGUGGACGCCAGUCUGCGUGGAGCCGACCUUGAAAUACCACCCUUUAAUGUUUGAUGUUCUAACGUGGACCCGUAAUCCGGGUUGCGGACAGUGUCUGGUGGGUAGUUUGACUGGGGCGGUCUCCUCCUAAAGAGUAACGGAGGAGCACGAAGGUUGGCUAAUCCUGGUCGGACAUCAGGAGGUUAGUGCAAUGGCAUAAGCCAGCUUGACUGCGAGCGUGACGGCGCGAGCAGGUGCGAAAGCAGGUCAUAGUGAUCCGGUGGUUCUGAAUGGAAGGGCCAUCGCUCAACGGAUAAAAGGUACUCCGGGGAUAACAGGCUGAUACCGCCCAAGAGUUCAUAUCGACGGCGGUGUUUGGCACCUCGAUGUCGGCUCAUCACAUCCUGGGGCUGAAGUAGGUCCCAAGGGUAUGGCUGUUCGCCAUUUAAAGUGGUACGCGAGCUGGGUUUAGAACGUCGUGAGACAGUUCGGUCCCUAUCUGCCGUGGGCGCUGGAGAACUGAGGGGGGCUGCUCCUAGUACGAGAGGACCGGAGUGGACGCAUCACUGGUGUUCGGGUUGUCAUGCCAAUGGCACUGCCCGGUAGCUAAAUGCGGAAGAGAUAAGUGCUGAAAGCAUCUAAGCACGAAACUUGCCCCGAGAUGAGUUCUCCCUGAGACUUAGAGUCUCCUGAAGGAACGUUGAAGACGACGACGUUGAUAGGCCGGGUGUGUAAGCGCAGCGAUGCGUUGAGCUAACCGGUACUAAUGAACCGUGAGGCUUAACCUUACAACGCCGAAG